UACGUAGGGGGCCAGCGUUGCUCGGAAUUACUGGGCGUAAAGGGUUCGUAGGUGGUGCGGUAAGUUGGAAGUGAAAUCUCUGGGCUUAACCCAGAGGCUGCUUUCAAAACUGUCGCGCUCGAGUGCGAGAGAGGUCAGUGGAAUUGCAGGUGUAGCGGUGAAAUGCGUAGAUAUCUGCAGGAACACCCGUGGCGAAGGCGGCUGACUGGAUCGCAACUGACACUGAGGAACGAAAGCGUGGGGAGCAAACAGG
rnacentral:rRNA from 1 species